UACGUAGGGUGCAAGCGUUGCCCGGAUUUAUUGGGCGUAAAGGGCGCGUAGGCGGCUCUGCACGUUCGUUGUGAAAUCGCCCCGGCUCAACUGGGCGGGGUCAGCGGAUACGGCAGAGCUUGAGCAAGCUAGGGGGCAAUGGAAUUCCCGGUGUAGUGGUGGAAUGCGUAGAUAUCGGGAGGAACACCAGUGGCGAAGGCGGUUGCCUGGGGCUUUGCUGACGCUGAUGCGCGAAAGCGUGGGGAGCGAUCCGG
rnacentral:rRNA from 1 species